rnacentral:rRNA from 2 species
UGGGGAAUAUUGCACAAUGGGGGGAACCCUGAUGCAGCAACGCCGCGUGGGUGAAGAAGUAUUUCGGUAUGUAAAGCCCUAUCAGCAGGGAAGAUAGUGACGGUACCUGACUAAGAAGCUCCGGCUAAAUACGUGCCAGCAGCCGCGGUAAUACGUAUGGAGCAAGCGUUAUCCGGAUUUACUGGGUGUAAAGGGUGCGUAGGCGGCAUGCCAAGUCAGAUGUGAAAUGCCGGGGCUUAACCCCGGAGCUGCAUUUGAAACUGGCACGCUUGAGUUCAGGAGGGGCAGGCGGAAUUCCUGGUGUAGCGGUGAAAUGCGUAGAUAUCAGGAGGAACACCGGUGGCGAAGGCGGCCUGCUGGACUGACACUGACGCUGAGGCACGAAAGCGUGGGGAGCAAACAGG